rnacentral:rRNA from 1 species
CACCGAAGCUGCGGAUUGAUACCAAUGGUAUCAGUGGUAGGGGAGCGUUCUAAGGACAGUGAAGUCAGACCGGAAGGACUGGUGGAGUGCUUAGAAGUGAGAAUGCCGGUAUGAGUAGCGAAAGACGGGUGAGAAUCCCGUCCACCGAAUGCCUAAGGUUUCCUGAGGAAGGCUCGUCCGCUCAGGGUUAGUCAGGACCUAAGCCGAGGCCGACAGGCGUAGGCGAUGGACAACAGGUUGAUAUUCCUGUACCACCUCUUUAUCGUUUGAGCAAUGGAGGGACGCAGAAGGAUAGAAGAAGCGUGCGAUUGGUUGUGCACGUCCAAGCAGUUAGGCUGAUAAGUAGGCAAAUCCGCUUAUCGUGAAGGCUGAGCUGUGAUGGGGAAGCUCCUUAUGGAGCGAAGUCUUUGAUUCCCCGCUGCCAAGAAAAGCUUCUAGCGAGAUAAAAGGUGCCUGUACCGCAAACCGACACAGGUAGGCGAGGAGAGAAUCCUAAGGUGUGCGAGAGAACUCUGGUUAAGGAACUCGGCAAAAUGACCCCGUAACUUCGGGAGAAGGGGUGCUUUCUUAACGGAAAGCCGCAGUGAAUAGGCCCAAGCGACUGUUUAGCAAAAACACAGCUCUCUGCGAAGCCGUAAGGCGAAGUAUAGGGGGUGACACCUGCCCGGUGCUGGAAGGUUAAGGAGAGGGGUUAGCGUAAGCGAAGCUCUGAACUGAAGCCCCAGUAAACGGCGGCCGUAACUAUAACGGUCCUAAGGUAGCGAAAUUCCUUGUCGGGUAAGUUCCGACCCGCACGAAAGGUGUAACGAUUUGGGCACUGUCUCAACCAGAGACUCGGUGAAAUUAUAGUACCUGUGAAGAUGCAGGUUACCCGCGACAGGACGGAAAGACCCCGUGGAGCUUUACUGUAGCCUGAUAUUGAAUUUUGGUACAGUUUGUACAGGAUAGGCGGGAGCCUUUGAAACCGGAGCGCUAGCUUCGGUGGAGGCGCUGGUGGGAUACCGCCCUGACUGUAUUGAAAUUCUAACCUACGGGUCUUAUCGACCCGGGAGACAGUGUCAGGUGGGCAGUUUGACUGGGGCGGUCGCCUCCUAAAGUGUAACGGAGGCGCCCAAAGGUUCCCUCAGAAUGGUUGGAAAUCAUUCGUAGAGUGCAAAGGCAUAAGGGAGCUUGACUGCGAGACCUACAAGUCGAGCAGGGACGAAAGUCGGGCUUAGUGAUCCGGUGGUUCCGCAUGGAAGGGCCAUCGCUCAACGGAUAAAAGCUACCCCGGGGAUAACAGGCUUAUCUCCCCCAAGAGUCCACAUCGACGGGGAGGUUUGGCACCUCGAUGUCGGCUCAUCGCAUCCUGGGGCUGUAGUCGGUCCCAAGGGUUGGGCUGUUCGCCCAUUAAAGCGGUACGCGAGCUGGGUUCAGAACGUCGUGAGACAGUUCGGUCCCUAUCCGUCGUGGGCGUAGGAAAUUUGAGAGGAGCUGUCCUUAGUACGAGAGGACCGGGAUGGACGCACCGCUGGUGUACCAGUUGUUCUGCCAAGGGCAUAGCUGGGUAGCUAUGUGCGGAAGGGAUAAGUGCUGAAAGCAUCUAAGCAUGAAGCCCCCCUCAAGAUGAGAUUUCCCAUAGCGUAAGCUAGUAAGAUCCCUGAAAGAUGAUCAGGUUGAUAGGUUCGAGGUGGAAGCAUGGUGACAUGUGGAGCUGACGAAUACUAAUAGAUCGAGGACUUAACCAUAUAA